GACGAACGCUGGCGGCGUGCCUAAUACAUGCAAGUAGAACGCAGUUGCGAACGGGUGAGUAACGUGUAGGUAACUGCCUCAUAGCGGGGGGUAACUAUUGGAAACGAUAGCUAAUACCGCAUACUUUGAGAUGGACCUGCGUUGUAUUAGGUAGUUGGUGAGGUAAAGGCGCACCAAGGCGACGAUACAUAGCCGACGUGAGAGGGGGAUCGGCCACACUGGGACUGAGACACGGCCCAGACGCCUACGGGGGGGAGCAGUAGGGAAACUGCGGCAAUGGACGGAAGACUGACCGAGCAACGCCGCGGGAGGGAAGAAGGUUUUCGGAUCGUAAAUCUCUGUUGUUAGGGAAGCGGUAACUAACGAGGAAGCGCCGGCUAACUACGUGCCAGCAGCCGCGGUAAUAC
rnacentral:rRNA from 1 species